rnacentral:rRNA from 1 species
AGAGUUUGAUCCUGGCUCAGGAUGAACGCUGGCGGCGUGCUUAACACAUGCAAGUCGAGCGAAGCAGUUAAGUUGAUUUCUUCGGAUUGAUUCUUAACUGACUGAGCGGCGGACGGGUGAGUAACGCGUGGGUGACCUGCCCCAUACCGGGGGAUAACAGCUGGAAACGGCUGCUAAUACCGCAUAAGCGCACAGAGCUGCAUGGCUCGGUGUGAAAAACUCCGGUGGUAUGGGAUGGGCCCGCGUCUGAUUAGGCAGUUGGCGGGGUAACGGCCCACCAAACCGACGAUCAGUAGCCGGCCUGAGAGGGCGACCGGCCACAUUGGGACUGAGACACGGCCCAAACUCCUACGGGAGGCAGCAGUGGGGAAUAUUGCACAAUGGGGGAAACCCUGAUGCAGCGACGCCGCGUGAGCGAAGAAGUAUUUCGGUAUGUAAAGCUCUAUCAGCAGGGAAGAUAAUGACGGUACCUGACUAAGAAGCCCCGGCUAACUACGUGCCAGCAGCCGCGGUAAUACGUAGGGGGCAAGCGUUAUCCGGAUUUACUGGGUGUAAAGGGAGCGUAGACGGCAAGGCAAGUCUGAAGUGAAAGCCCGGUGCUUAACGCCGGGACUGCAUUGGAAACUGUUUAGCUGGAGUGCCGGAGAGGUAAGCGGAAUUCCUAGUGUAGCGGUGAAAUGCGUAGAUAUUAGGAGGAACACCAGUGGCGAAGGCGGCUUACUGGACGGUAACUGACGUUGAGGCUCGAAAGCGUGGGGAGCAAACAGGAUUAGAUACCCUGGUAGUCCACGCCGUAAACG